rnacentral:rRNA from 1 species
UGGGGAAUAUUGCACAAUGGAGGAAACUCUGAUGCAGCGACGCCGCGUGAGUGAAGAAGGUCUUCGGAUCGUAAAACUCUGGCCUGGGUGACGAAAAAAAUGACGGUAGCCAAGGAGGAAGCCCCGGCUAACUACGUGCCAGCAGCCGCGGUAAUACGUAGGGGGCGAGCGUUGUCCGGAUUUACUGGGCGUAAAGGGGGAGUAGGCGGUAAUAUGUGUCAGAUGUAAAAGGCUAUGGCUUAACCAUAGUUGGCAUUUGAAACUGUAUUACUUGAGUGCAGGAGAGGUAAGUGGAAUUCCUAGUGUAGCGGUGAAAUGCGUAGAUAUUAGGAGGAACACCAGUGGCGAAGGCGACUUACUGGACUGUAACUGACGCUGAGUCACGAAAGCGUGGGUAGCAAACA